CUUGAUCUUGUCGCGAUAUCGGUCUGCCGUCUCAGGAAUAAACUUCAGUACCGUGUGAACAUCGGUGGAAUAAAUUCCCGGAACAUUGGAAAACUUGUUCCCGGAACAUGGCUAGACAGUGGAAGUCUAUCUUAGUUUAUGAUGAAGUCAAAAAAGGUGCAUGGGAGACAAAGUAUUGUGGAAUUUUGGAAGCAUAUGAGAGGUGUACCCUCAUAUGAGGAAAAGCAACUUUUAUGCUCAAGCUAACAGCUUUGCCGCAAAGCACAACAGAAGUUGAGAAAACAUUUUCAAAGCUCAACAACAAUAAAACAAAACUUCGAAAUAAACUCUCUGUAAAGACACUGGAAGCAAUAAUAAAGACAUCGGAGCGAUUCCCAACCAGCUUUGAAAUGACACCAUCUUUGAUCAAAAACUAUUCAAGCGCAAGGUCAAAAUACUUUGCGAAAUGCAAUGAAAAUGACAAGAAUCUCAUUGUCACAGAGGAGACACAAGAUUAAACGGUGACCUAUCUAAGUCAACGGUGAGUGAUG